UCCAUCAUUACGUCCCUGGCGAACAAUGUUAUUACAUAGUGAGUGGCUUGAGUCCAAAUCUGGACGAUAUUGUGACACGUUGGCCCAAAGCACCAAAUUUGGCACAGUUGUACUUUAGGACUAUACAACUGUUUUGAGAGAGGGGAUACUAGAUUUUAGAGGUCAAGUCUAAGACGGGAUUCGAACCCCAACAGCUCAACUGUCAGUGGCGACUCCUUCUGCGUCGCCGCCCCUUGCCCGACCUAAAUAGGUGAAGAGUACCGAGUCAUCCAAGCCUGCCAGGACCAAGUCCCCAGCAGUGGAUCUUAACUUCGCGAUUUUGGAAACGCUUGCUACUCCAGCUCCAGCUUCGACCCAAACGACUCCGGCGGUUCCACCUUCCCCACGAGAGGUGACCCCGAUUGAGUCUGGGAAUAUUUAGGAUAUGGAUUAUCUAAACAAUAAAAUGUCAACAAAUUCUGCAUUAAACGAAAUUGAAAGCUAAAUAGUUGUUCGCGUCCUUCUACCCCUGCAGACUCCACGGAUAUACAACAACAACGACAACAAGAGGAGAAGAUAAAACUCCAUAUUGAGCAGAGGAUAUACAAUAACAACAACAAGAGGAGAAGAUAUAUUAUAUUAUAUAUGGUGGUAUUUCACGCCAACUGAACUACAUUGUAUAUGUUAAUUAAAUCCUGAAUUUAUUAUUAUAUAGGUGACAGUUCAUGUCAGCUCAACUGUAUGUCUAUGUGUUCAUUAGAUCCUGAAUUUAUUAUUAUAUAGGUGACAGUUCACGUCAGCUCAGCUGUAUGUCUAUGUGUUCAUUACAUCCUGAAUUUAUUAGUAUAUAGGUGACAGUUCACGUCAGCUCAACUAUAUGUCUAUAUGUUCAUUAGAUCCUGAAUUUAUCGUAUAUGGGUGACAGUUCACGUCAGAUCAACUGUAUGUCUGUAUGUUCAUUAGAUCCUGAAUUUAUCGUAUGUGGGUGACAGUUCACAUCAGCUCAACUGUAUGUCUAUAUGUUCAUUGGAUCCCGAAUUUAUGAAGUUCAUGCCAACUGAACUAUAUGUCUAUAUGUUCAUGAGAUCCUGAAUUUAUCAUUAUAUGGGUGGUAGUUCACGCCAGGUAAACUGUGUCUGUAGAUUCAGUAGAUCUUGGAUAUAUUGGUACCGACCUCGGUGGUGUGGUAAAACCACCGGACAAAAGGCUGUUAAAUUAUGGAAUAAUAUAACGUCCGAUAUUAGGAAUUCUUCAUCGUUAAAUAGAUUUAAAUCUGAAUUAAAUAAAUCAGACCCAAUUGUACCGUGCUACUUUUACGAUGGUGAUAGAAGGCAACAGAUAUUACAUAGUCGACUCCGCUUGGGAACUAGCGAUCUAAAUGGUCAUAAAUUUGCAAGACACGUAAGUGACAGUCCAUUUUGUACUUGUGGACAUCUUAUUGAAGAUGCAGAACAUUGUUUAUGUUAUUGUCCACUAUAUAAUGUAAUUCGUAAAACUCACCUGUCAAAAUAUCACAAUCUUAAUUGCAAGACUUUAUUAUUUGGUGACCCAAAUUUUAGUACCCACGAAAAUAGUGUUAUAUUUAAAUCUGUUCAAGACUUUAUAAUUAAUAGCAAACGUUUCGAUAACUAACCAUUCAUUAUUCCUCCUUCUCCCUUCCCAACUGUGACUAAAUAAUAUCAUAUCAACUAUCUAUUUUUAUUUUUCCUUUCUUCUCUCUCUCUUCCAUUCUUCUCAUCUUAGCUAAUUUGAAUUUAUUUAAAUUAUUAUACUAUUUCUGUCAUCUUGAUGU